ensembl:lncRNA
GGGACAAACAAAAGUAGAGCACAACUGUAGAGUCAAGAUCCAAGGAGUACUUGCUACGUAUAAUUGUAAUCAUUUUAAUACAUUGGUCACAUCAGAGAAGCAGCCUUAAAGUAUGGAUAUUGGUCAUGUAAUGCUGUAUUUGCAUGACUCAAUAGCCGACAGUAUUGGGUGACAUGAUGCUUUGCACUUAUGUGAGCCAGUUGCUGCAGGAAUAUAAACACACAAACUAACACAGGUGUUUGGACUCUGUGUCGAAUACAACAGAUAAAACAAAGGAAAAGUUUUUCAUCACUACUAAAAAGAGAAGAACAUUCCGUCAGCCAAGAUACUCCAAAUGUCAUUUUUUAGACGAACCAGACUACAACCAAAGAGGAGAUGAACACCACUGACAAUGAACACCUUGCAGUCCCCAACCUCUCCUAUAGCAACUCAACUAGACUGGACUACUCUUCAAUGUAUAUUUUUUCAGUUUUCCAUGUCACCAACUUUGUGGUUGGCCUUCCUGUUAACAGUUGGGUGGUGUGGCUGAUUUUGACUGGAUCUGGGGUGGCUGCAGAGAUCUUCCCCCUCAACCUGAGCAUGACUGAGAUCCUCUACUGCAUAGGUACCCCACUUACGAUUGUAUACACCUACAUCCCUGAGGUGGCUCUUGGAAAAGUGGCGGCCUUCAUGUGGGGCUUUAUCUGGAUUUGUCGACCCCUGUUCCAGUGCUGUGUCUGUGUAGAGCGCUACCUGGCGGUGGUCCACCCUGUGGUCUUCUUAAAGUACAGACCCCUAAGAUACAGAGUGAGAUGUAGCGGUUUAGUCUGGUUUGUAGUUUUGGUUUCUUCUGUGGUCUUUGGAAUCUUCUAUCCUCAUGUACCACACUAUGGGAUCUUGGUCUUGUUCCUGAUUCCCUUUUUGGUAAUGUUGUUCUGCUGCCUCUCAAUUCUCAGAGCUCUUAAAAAGCCUGGGCCGGGGGACGGUGAAAAGGAGUCUGGAAAUAACUUGAAGAUGAAGGCCUUUAAGAUAAUUUUGAUUCUCAUGACGUCUGUGGCAGUAAACUAUAUCCCAUUACUAGUGGUUGUCAUCCUGAUUGAUCAAUCGAAUAGGGUGGAAUUAAUUGCUCCCAGUGUUUGCAUCAACAUGGCUGUGUUGUGUGGGUUGGUGCAGCCCUUUCUCUACCUCCACAGGGCUGGGAAACUGCCCUGUACCAGGAGUCCAACAGAUGAUUGAGGUGGAAAUGUAGCCCCUCCAUUCUCUCUCUCCAUUUUUCUUCAGUCGCUAAAAUCACAAAUACACAUAUCUUCACUCACAUGCACACGCACCACAAGUGUUCAGGCUGUGGGUGGAUUUGCUUAAUUGACGUAUCAGUCCUCUCGGUCAGACAGAUGUAAAUCUGACACUCCUCAUAGGAGAGACAAUUUUCAACACCACAGGUCAGACCCAAUUUGGGUUGUUUAAAGCUACAGUCUGGGAUUAGAAAAACAACAAAACAGCCACCCUGUCACUGGUAUACAGCUGAUAGAACAUGGCAUCCACAUGAUAGUUUCAAACAUAAUUAGAAGAGCAAUAUAUAGCUCUAUACAUCGGUUUGUUUACGAGUAAUAAAAAACAUUUUGUGCUUGAAUAGACCCGCUUUCUGUGUUUACAAACAUUGCCGCAUGAGGGUGAAGCGCGCAAAUUGGUGGGAGAACAAGUGGGUGUUCUUAAAGAACACCAGCAAAAAAAUCCGCUAUUUACAUGUUGCUUAUCAAUGCACUUGAUUACAAUUUGAUUUUAAGGCCUCCCUUUAUCUAAAGAUAAAUACAUGCAGAACCUUUUCACUUCAGUCUCACCUUUCGAUGCUCUCGUGACAUUCACUUGACAGAAAAUCAUGACAUCACAAGUAGGACCUCCCAUCCAUAGAAUGACAUAUUUCCAUCUGGAACUCUCAUGUUGUUUAGAGGUGUAACCAGACCUCACCUUCCUGACCUACCCUUGCUUAAUCCAGUUGACUCUCCAAUAGGGAAAAUGUGUUUCUCCUUGCUCCCUCAGAACAACAGAUAUAUAUGUGCUUUAUUUCAAAGGGAUAUUGUAUCCAUUCCUUAUGUCACAAGUUACUGGAAUACAUUUGUUGAUAAUAUCUGUUGGAAAAAAGUCUGGUUAUAACCACACAAAUACCUGCUUGUUGACAAGGUCAGAGGCAUCUUUCAGAAUGAUCCAUAAGUAUUACCCAGCGAAUCAUUUUACCUCAUAAAUCUAAUUGAAUUGUGCUAAUGGAAAAAUGUCAUAUUCAUAAAUGUAAAUUCACAAAUUAAAAAAACUCUUCUGUGUUUUCUAUCAUUUCAAACAAUACAUUAAGACCAUUCUACAUUCUUCUAAAAAGAAAGCUGUUAAAGCAAUCAAUAUGUGUACAUCUUUUAAGGUCUUUGUAUAAUCUGUCAUUUGCAUAUGUUAUCAUUG